AUGGAUGUUGUUGUCCGGAGCUGCCGGCUGUGGGCCUGCUCUCAGAAGGAGUCUUGCGCUCUCCAACCCUGCUUGCUCCAUCUCUCUUGCAGGGGAACAUUGUUGUUCUCAGUAGGUUUGGACCUGAGGGGGCAGAGGGGGAAUGGAGAUUAUGUGAAGAAGAAUUGGUGUGAGGGAGUGCUGGUGGGUGUCGAGAUUAGCAGCGGUGAGCGCUGGGAAGCUGCUAAUGGCAACAUCAGCAGGAAUGAGAGGAAAGGCGGCCAUUUCCUGCGCUUCCUUGGCCUUUGGUGUGUCUUCGGCCUGCUCCUGGCAUUACAGUCCAGCAGCUCUCCCUGUAAGUGCACGUUGCCUGGAUGGGAAGAGAUGCUUUUGCUCUGGCAAUGGAUCUUGCAGGGGUGUGUGGCCAAGCAAGGAGCACCUGGGUUAAAUAACGCCUGUGGCACGACCUAUGCCUUCUGCAGGACCAGAGCAAACCAGCCUGCUGCGACAAGAAACUCAAGGGGACUGAAGAUGGCACCCGCAUUUUGGGACAGACAGAGAGUCAGCUGCUGCCUCUGGAGCAGAGCUCCACAGCCAGAUGCCUCCUGCAGUGAUGCCAGCCACCCAGAACUGGCUGUUCAAACUGAACCUCUCCAUCCUGACAUCACAUCGUUGGUCUGUUAUGGGACUUACUCCAUUUCACCAACUCUGUCACGUCCUCAGGCCUACCAAGGGCUUAAAGGAAACCCUCCUCUACAAGGUGGUGAAGUAGUGUCCCUGUGGAAACACUGCAUCCGUGCAAGUGCCUAGAGAGUAGGAGAGUGUCAUUGGAUAGCUACAAAGAAGAAAGAACUGCAUCAGAAAGAAAACCCUCCUGCCAUGUCAUCUUGCCCAGACCUUCCAGUGAGGCAGCCUUUCAACUCAGA
rnacentral:lncRNA from 1 species